CCCAAAAUUAAGUGAGCUAUUGUAGAACAGUUGGCAGAACAAACUCAUCUGUGUAGCAAAACAGUGAGAUGAUUCUACAAUAGAAGUGAAAAGCCUAUCGAACUUAAUGAUAGCUGG
rfam:Sarcophilus harrisii ctg7180002204169, whole genome shotgun sequence.